AUUGAACGCUGGCGGCAGGCUUAACACAUGAAAGUCGAGCGAGCGGCGGACGGGUGAGUAAUGUCUGUGAAACUGCCUGAUGGAGGGGGAUAACUACUGGAAACGGUAGCUAAUACCGCAUACCAUCAGAUGUGCCCAUAUGGGAUUAGCUAGUAGGUGGGGUAAUGGCUCACCUAGUAGCCGAUCCCUAGCUGGUCUGAGAGGAUAACACGCCACACGGGAACUGACACACGGUCCAGACUCCUACGGGAGGCAUCAGUGGGGAAUAUUGCACAAUGGGCGUAAGCCUGAUGCACCCAUGACGCGUGUAUGAAGAAGGCCUUCGGGUUUUAAAGCACUUUAAGCGAGGAGGCGUUACUCGCAGAAGAAGCACCGGCUAACUCCGUGCCAGCAGCCGCGGUAAUAC
rnacentral:rRNA from 1 species